UGUGUGUGUGUGUGUGUGUGUGUGUGUGUGUGUGUGUGUGUGUGUGUGUGUGUGUGUGUGUGUGUGUGUGUGUGUGUGUGUGUGUGUGUGUGUGUGUGUGUGUGUGUGUGUGUGUGUGUGUGUGUGUGUGUGUGUGUGUGUGGGUGUGUGUGUGUGUGUGUGUGUGUGUGUGUGUGUGUGUGUGUGGGUGGGUGUGGGUGUGGGUGUGGGUGUGGGUGUGGGUGUGGGGUGUGGGGUGGGUGGGUGGGUGGGUGGGUGGGUGGGUGUGGAUGUGGAUGUGGGUGUGGGGUGUGUGGGUGUGGGGGGGGGGGGUUACAUUCAUGAUUGUUUAAGAAGUGAAGGCGUAGCCAGGAACAGUAGCAUAGCAUUCAUGAUUGCUUAAGAAGGGCGGCAGAUCAGUUUGGGGGGGGACACACAGUAUGCCCGAGCCCAACCAAAUAGGCUCCAUUUCUCGAGGAAUUGUCGCUCUACCCAGGAAUGCAAGAUGGCGAUGGGGCGAGGCGUGUGUGUUUGCGUGUUCGUGUGUUCGUGUGGUGUGCAG
rnacentral:lncRNA from 1 species